AGAAAAAAAAAAAAGAAAGACAUCUGCGGUGGGGAAGCCCAUAUCCAUAUUUUAAAAAAUGUCAUCUAAGAAGACAACCAUAGACUGGCGUAACCCACCCAGAAGGCGCCGCCGUAUCCAGUGGCCCAUGUCUUCAUCAUCUUCAGCGGAGGGCUCUCCGGAAGUGGCUGCCGGGGCCAGCUCACCUGCUGCAUCGCCAGCGUCCAGGGGAGGUGGACCAAGCCCGGACCGGGGCUGUCAAGAACAAUCUGCACCUAGAGCCGCCAGCGAGGAUCCCCCAGUCGCCUCCAGAGUCCGCG